GCUGGGCAUGGUAGUGUAUACCUGUAAUCCUAGUGACUUGGGAGGCUGAGACAAGAGAAUUGCAAGUUUGAGGCUAGCCUCAGCAACUUGGCAAGGCCCUAAUCAACUUAGGGAGACCAGGUCUCAA
rnacentral:sRNA from 1 species